CGCCUGUUUAUCAAAAACAUAACUAUAGGUAGGUAUCCAUAGCGAUUUCUGCUCCAUGUGAAAAUAAAUAGCCGCAGUACCCUGACUGUGCUAAGGUAGCAUAAUCAAUAGGCUUGUAAUUUAAGUCUGGUAUGAAGGAAGAUUUGGGGGUUUCCUGUCUCACCUGAAGUUGAUGGAAUUUUUUUAAAAAGUGCAAAAACUUUUACAUAAACAUUAGACGAGAAGACCCUAGAAAUUUUUUAACUUAUUUUGUUGGGGCGACAAAGUAACAAUUAACUUACUUAUAUUUAUCUGAAGUGGAUAUACAGAAUGUAAAAAUUACUCUAGGGAUAACAGCAUAAUUUCUGCGGAGUUUGUGACCUCGAUGUUGGACUAGGUAUUAUUAAGUUUAGAAGAUUUAAGUUUGAGCUCUGUUCGAGCUGUAAUUACCUACGUGAUCUGAGUUCAGACCG
rnacentral:rRNA from 1 species